rnacentral:rRNA from 1 species
UGGCGGACGGGUGAGUAACGCGUGGAAAACCUGCCGUAUACUGGGGGAUAACACUUAGAAAUAGGUGCUAAUACCGCAUAAGCGCACAGCUUCGCAUGAAGCGGUGUGAAAAACUCUGGUGGUAUACGAUGGUUCCGCGUCUGAUUAGCUAGUUGGUGGGGUAAUGGCCUACCAAGGCAACGAUCAGUAGCCGGCCUGAGAGGGUGAACGGCCACAUUGGGACUGAGACACGGCCCAAGCUCCUACGGAAGGCAGCAG